UACACUGAUCCUGGAUCAGAUCAUGCACAUGGAUAAUCUGUUUAAUCCACUGAAGCCUUAGGGCAUUGUCUCUGUUUUUGCAUAUUUUCUUAAAUUCAGUUUAAAGGUUCUUAAUUAUAAUUACAUUUAGUUAUUUUUGAACAAAAAUAUAAUAUUUUCAAUUUAUGAUAUUCUUACUUAUCAAGUUCCUAGUACAAUUACUGCAAUCUGGACUUUCAGAUUAUUGUAGUGCUUUCUCAAGAACCAGUGGAGGGCAGCCUCACAUUGUUCAAUGCAUCUUAAAUUUUGUUUGUUUACAGUGUCACUCUCUGUGACUGUUGUUUUUGUUGAUUCUUUGGUUUCAUAUUUGUUUGUAUUGAAGAUGCUGCCAAACAAAAUCAAGGCAGUAAAUAAAUCAAUAUUUUAUUGGAUCAUUACUUGGUUAUAUAGUUGAAUUUCACAGUAAAGUUAACAGGGCCGUUCAGAUAGAAUCUUUACUUUUCUCAGCAUUGAUUAUUGGUUUUGUAAAGUUAUAUUGACACGUCCCAAAAAAGAACUCUCAAAACGUUAUUUUACAAUAAAAUAUUUUUUUAACAUUUUAGUGAACAGAUAUUUUGAUAAUACAAAUUAAAACUAAUUUUAAUAUUCAAAAAACGAACCAAAGGAAAAAUAUAUGGGCUGCAAGAAAUUGAUUUAUUUUUAGUCUUUCUAAUGCCUAGAUAUUUCCCUGCAUAUUUUAACAAUUAAAAAUUGUAGCAGUUAAUUAUUGUUUUGUAAAAGGCUUUCUAAAGGUCAGAGUGAGCGGCUUCUUUACAGCAGGAGGUUUUUGUACGACCACUGAGCGAGUUUGUAUCACUGUGGAGCAGUUUUGGUGGCGGCACAAAACUCUCAGUUGGACGUGAGUAUCUUUCACUGCUUAUCCAAAAGUUCGUAUUUUCUGAAAUAAUAAUCGAUAUGUUUGAUCUUUGAUAAUGAUGGAGACUUAAAACAUGUUGCGGUUGCAUUUCUUGUGGUUUACGGUGCAACAGAUGUUACGAGUAAACGAGAUUGUAGCUCUGUGGUGGACUUUCGGUGGCGGAACAAAACUAUCAGUUGGACGUGACGCCCCGCCCACCCUCACGGUCCUGCCCCCCUCCAGUGUACAGCUGCAGCAGGAGAAGGUCACACUCGUGUGUCUGGCCAACAAGGGCUUCCCCUCAGACUGGAAGCUGAGCUGGAAGGUGGCUGGUAGCAGCUGGAGCUCGGGGGUGAGCCAGAGCUCCGGGCUUCUGCAGAAGGAUGGCCUCUACAGCUGGAGCAGCACCCUGACCCUCCAGAAGGAGGAGUGGCUGAAGAAGACAGUGACCUGUGAGGCCACCAAGGACUCCCAGUCUCCUGUCACACAGACACUGAGUAGAGAGCAGUGUGCUGAGGCGUGA